CGUGGUUAAAUCGACACCGGUAUC
rnacentral:misc_RNA from 1 species